rnacentral:tRNA from 1 species
GGCGCUGUGGCUUAGUUGGUUAAAGCGCCUGUCUAGUAAACAGGAGAUCCUGAGUUCGAAUCUCCGCAGUGUCU